rnacentral:rRNA from 1 species
UACAGAGACUGCAAGCGUUAUUCGGAUUCACUGGGCGUAAAGGGCGCGUAGGCGGCGCGGGCAGUCAACGGUGAAAGCUUGGGGCUCAACCCCGAGUCGGCCGUCGAUACUCCCGGGCUGGAGCACUGUAGAGGCAGGUGGAAUUCCGGGUGUAGCGGUGGAAUGCGUAGAGAUCCGGAAGAACACCGGUGGCGAAGGCGGCCUGCUGGGCAGUAGCUGACGCUGAGGCGCGACAGCGUGGGGAGCAAACAGG